AUGAGAGAUCGGACGAACAAGGCGCUCCUACCACCUUCUUCCCCCUGGAUCCAGCUCUUGCUCCCCGCCGACAGCAGGAGACAUGAGGUCACCUCCGGCGCUGCUGGUGGCGUGAAGGCCAUCAAAUGAUCUGCCACAGCCGUCUCCGUUGUCGUCACCUCUCUUGAGAUGGACCAGUAUGAGGGAGAGAGCUGGCGUCCGGAGAACAGGGAGGGUAGUAUCUUCUUCCCGGCGGAGGGCUGGAGGCGCGGCGAGCCGGAGUUGCGGCCUGAGGUCGGUCGCUGUGUGCUGAGGCGCACGGCUGGGAUGUACCGGCUGGAGGAGAAGCUACGCGGUCGUGCCCUGGUGGGUACAGUGGAAGGCAACCGGCCUCCCAUGUCGCCGGCACAGGUGGUUGCUGCUUUGGAGGCGCAAUGCGGCGUCCGCCGCGAGGACGUCAUGGUUGAGGUAUGUUCGCCUCCGGCGGAUUUUCUUGUACAGUUUCGGUCCGGCGACGACUGCACUCGCGUGCUCAUCUACCACUCCCGCAAGCUUACCGUCGGCGGCGAGACAAUCCAGUUUUGGCGGUGGCAUCGUGGGAUGGGUGGCGAGGAGUCGUCUAUGAAGUUUUUGACAAGGUUGAGCUUUGAUGGGCUCCCGCAAGAGGCAUGGGAGGUCAAGUUCGUUACCAACCUUGUUAGCAGUCUCGGCGGCGAUCUUGUUAAGAUGUUGAAGCCCACUGAUCGGUGCUUCGUCGUUGUUGAAGCGUGGAUGAAGAACCCAAACAAAUUGCCUAAAUUAUAUGAAGUGGAGCUGCCAGAGCCUGAAUUACGACAAGAUUACCCAACCUCUGACUCUGACGUGCCAAUUUCACCGCCUAGUACUCGUCUGAAAGAUGAGAAGCUAACAGUUGUUCAUUUUCUGAAGAUCCAUGUUCUAAAGGUUAUAGAUCACAACCCUAUCUUAACAGAGUUGCCGCCUGCUUAUGACUAUGACGAAGAAUCGAACAGCGCUCGGUGUCACACUUUCACCUGUUAUCCUGGUACAAUAGAUGGUGCAGAGAGGGCAUACAUUGGUGGUGGACAUGGUUUUGCAGGGCCAGGGUCCGAUGGCCGUGCAGGUGCUCUAUUCAGGAUGUAG
rnacentral:rRNA from 1 species